rnacentral:rRNA from 1 species
GAUGAACGCUGGCUACAGGCUUAACACAUGCAAGUCGAGGGGAAACGACGGGGUAGCUUGCUUCCCCGGGCGUCGACCGGCGCACGGGUGAGUAACGCGUAUCCAACCUGCCUCUGACUGAGGGAUAACCCGUCGAAAGUCGGCCUAAUACCUCAUGGCAUCGUCUGCGGGCAUCCAACGACGAUUAAAGAUUUCAUCGGUCAGAGAUGGGGAUGCGUCUGAUUAGCUUGUUGGCGGGGUAACGGCCCACCAAGGCCACGAUCAGUAGGGGUUCUGAGAGGGAGACACCGACAUUGGAACAGGGACACGGUCCAAACGCCUGCGGAGGCAGCGGUGAGGAAUAUUGGGCGAUGGGCGAGAGCCUGAACCAGCCAAGUGGCGUGCAGGAGGACGGGGCUAUGGGAUGUAAACUGCUUUUAUGCGAGGAGAAAGUGAGGGACGUGUCCUUCAUUGCAGGUACCGAAUGAAUAAGGACCGGCUAAUUACGUG